UACGUAGGGGGCGAGCGUUGUCCGGAUUUAUUGGGCGUAAAACGCUUGUAGGCGGCCACCGCGCGUCGGACGUGAAAUCUCCCGGCUCAACUGGGAGGGGUCGUGCGAUACGGCGGGGCUCGAGGCCGGUAGGGGGACGCGGAAUUCCCGGUGUAGUGGUGAAAUGCGUAGAUAUCGUGAGGAACACCAGAGGCGAAGGCGGCUACCUGGACAAUUGCUGACGCUCAUGCACGAAAGCGUGGGGAGCAAACAGG
rnacentral:rRNA from 1 species